rfam:Aeromonas hydrophila subsp. hydrophila ATCC 7966, complete genome.
CAGCAAACUGGGGGCUGUAACUCAGGGGCGGUAGCUAU